CGUGAGCUAGAAGAUUUCUCUCCUGCAUCUUUUUAUAAUGAGAACAAUACGAAUGGGUCAUUCUUGGAUGAAACCGAUGGCAAAAAGAACAAUAUUUGAUUUGGAUGGCAGACAAAUUUGGGCUGGAUACAGCCGUGUUCGAGCCAACGGGACUAAAAGGGCGCCAAUUUCGUUUCGCGCCAUCACAAGUCUUUGGUUCAUUGAGAUCAAGUAUGAUUAGUCCGACCUGGGAACACUAAAAAUACCCACUUGGUGAAUUGUUCACAGAAAGACAUGACAUAUUUGGUAUAGCGAAAAGAGAUUCUGGGAGAGCUGUGCAAAGAAGAAAAAGCCAUGUGCUCCAACAUCCCAAGCAUUUGCUCAUCUGGUGUUCCUCCACCACCAUCAAACAAUGGAACACCUGUGCAGAAACAAAGUAGCCACAACAUCUAAACUUAGGAACUUCUCUGGAGCUACAUGCAGCUACAACAUCUAAACUCAGGAACACCUGGGGAGCUACAAGCAGCGUCAACAUCUAAACUCAGGAACACCUGGACAGCUACAAGCAGCGUCAACAUCUAAACUCAGGAACACCUGGACAGCUACAUGCAGCUACAACAUCUAAACUCAGGAACACCUGGGGAGCUACAUGCAGCUACAACAUCUAAACUCAGGAACACCUGGGGAGCUACAUGCAGCUUCAACAUCUAAACUCAGGAACACCUGGGGAGCUACAGGCAGCUACAAUAUCUAAACUCAGAAAAACCUGGGGAGCUAUACAGUACAAGCAGCUUACAAUAUCUAAACUCAGGAACAACUGUGGAGCUACAAGCAUCUACAAAAUCUAAACUCAGGAACACCUGGGGAGCUACAAGCAGCUACAAUAUCUAAACUCAGGAACACCUGUGGAGCUAUACAGUACAAGCAGCUUACAAUAUCUAAACUCAGGAACACCUGGGGAGCUACAAGCAUCUACAAUGAAAAACAAUGUCAUCACACUAUAUAUGUUACAGUACAUUUACAAUAAAAUGUUUUUGUAGUGCCCAAUGACA